AUGUAUGUGUGAGAGAAUGAUGAAAUCAUAAAUAAUAAACGAUGGCUCUUGCAGCUAUUUGUUUUGCUAUCAUUUCCUGAUAUUGAUUCGCGGAAUUCGCGGAAAGAAAAACAAUAUUUUUUCGGCAUAAAUCGGUUAAGUGCAUUGGACAAAGAUCAAGGAAACGGAUACGGGAAUCCAUUGAUUGCUAUCAAGAUUUCAGCAGCUUGGACUUGUAGCGACGGAUCUGGAAAUUACGUAACACAAUGCUAUUGUGUUCUGCAACUGGUGGGAUCCGCUGCGCCAAUCACGGAAUCUGGAUCAGCAAUUCGGGAGCGGAAUCUCUGACAAUCUGUUGGCUACUUCUAUGGCGCAAACGAUGUAGCAAAAUCUUUGCGGGCUCCCGAUAUAUGUCGUCCAUGGCGCAAUGCAUGCAUCGCUGCUCCACAGGAUAUUGGAUCGAUGAUAAGUCCUAAAAGGACAAGUUCCAGAUAAACCUGGACCAAAAAGAAGUUCCGGUGAAGUGAAACUGCCGAGCAACAACAUUAUUUAUCAUCGGAGGAAAGCAUGAAAAGAAGCAAAGCGGCUACGGAUACAUUUCGCAGCAGCGCUUCAGGCGCUUCAAAACCCCACCGGGGAUGGUACGACUCCUAUUAAGUAAGCCGACGAUUUCGUCAGAUGGAACCAGAAUCGACACGGCUCGUCCAGAUGGGUGAGGUGAUGAAGAAGGAUAUAUUACCCGUUAGCUGAUAAAGUGGAGUGGAGUGUUAACAGUUAUUUUCUGUUAAUUUCUAGAUAAAAUAUUUUGUCAUAAUGUAAAAAAUAAAUAAGCUGUAAACGUA